rnacentral:lncRNA from 1 species
GAAGUUUCAAGCCAUUAUACUCAAAAGCAUUGGGCAAGGGUAACUAUUGAAGUGUUGGUGAAAAUAGGAGAUAUAGAAGAACUAAUUAUUGCUUUAGUCGACCAUUGUAGAAUAGAUAUUAAUUUGUUUUUGUAAGAUAUUAGUAAAAUAGAGUAAUAGUCCAUAGAAUAGUGAGUUCAAGAGGACGAAGGUUAAAUCAGUUAUUAAAAGCAAUUAUUAUAGGAUUACGAUUAAAAUUUGAAAAUCAGUAGCAAUUAUAUAGGAGUUGUAGAAGUUAGUUUGAAAGGCGAGAUUGUGAUAGUCAUGAGCCGGGGUUAAGCUUGGUACUACCUCUUUAUUUUUUUUGUUUUCUUUGUUGUUGAAGAGUAAUGGAUAGUUUUUAAAUAUUGAGAAGUGAAUCUGUAGAAUAAAUCAGAGAUUGAUUUAUGAGUUAUUGAUUAUGUAAUUGGAGUAUUUUGUGAUUGAAUUAUAUAAGAAGCUAUUGAAAGAUUGAUUAUGAUUGGAAGAUUAUGAUUGUUGUUUAUCAAGAAUUGUGUGUGUU